UACGAAGGGGGGCUAGCGUUGCUCGGAAUCACUGGGCGUAAAGCGCACGUAGGCGGCUUUUUAAGUCAGGGGUGAAAUCCUGGAGCUCAACUCCAGAACUGCCUUUGAUACUGGAAAGCUUGAGUUCGGGAGAGGUGAGUGGAACUGCGAGUGUAGAGGUGAAAUUCGUAGAUAUUCGCAAGAACACCAGUGGCGAAGGCGGCUCACUGGCCCGAUACUGACGCUGAGGCACGAAAGCGUGGGGAGCAAACAGG
rnacentral:rRNA from 1 species